UUAUUUGUGUAAGAACUCGUGGUAGGAAUCUACAUUACCUACUACGUGUUCCCUACAAUUGUACAUAUUGUUCUUUCAAUUAACAAUAUUUCAAUAUUACGACAAUUAAUGUGAAAACAUACAACAAAUAUUAUUCAUUUAAUUUUUAUUUAUAAUGACAUGUUUCUCCAAGCUUUUCUGAUGAUCUUUCAAAUUGAAAUUCUGAUAUAUUUGCCGCCUGAUGUGUGUUUCCUUCUCUAUUUUCUUCUUUUUCAAUGUCGCCGCUGCUACAAUUGAACACUACGCUAAUCGUGCAUAAUUAAUUAAUUUUAAUAAAACAUUGAUUUAAAUAAAUAAAUAAAGCAUUACGUUUUGCAGAGACAAAUGUUUCAGAGCAAAAAUUUCAAUUUAAUUCGACAGUUCAGACUGUUUCAGAUUGUAAUUUGAUUAAAUUCGACUUUACAACUUGAUCGAGGACAGCUUCACUUCUUCUCUGUGUUUACACACUUCGCCUGUGCUCAUUUGCAAUUUCGGAGUAAAAUGUGAUUAUGAUUGAAAACGUGGCAAGAUGUAUAGAUACAAAGUAAACAUCGAGCCUCAGUUCUUUCGUUCCGCCUGCAGUUGACAGUUAGUAAACAGUUAGUUGGUACGACGAUUCCGAAAAGUUAAGACAAUUUUGUGGCAAUGCAACGGGAAUUACUUCGAAAUAAGUUAUUGAACUAGUAAAAUCUAACGAAGAUUUAAAAUUAACAUAUAACAUACGCUUGUUCGACUUAAAAUUCAAUGUUCAAAAUGUUAAAUCGGAUAUUAGAUCAAUUGCUUUAUUUAAUAGAGAAAAAUCAGGAAAGAAAGUUGUUUAGUUUUUGUUCCACAUUAAAUAACCUAUACUCGUCCAAAAGCGUAGAAACAAUGGACAAGAAUCACCGCGAUGUUCGAUAUAAAUUCUCGUGAUCGAUCUUAUUGGAAUUGAUAACAUUGGAAUGUAACGUACAUAUUUGCGUCAGUUUUACGCGGGACGCGCAACAAGAUGGCGGAUCUAAAACAAAAUCCGAAACAAAGAUUUAAAAUUAAAAUACUCUUGUUCGACAUAGUGUUCAAUAUAUGAAACCACAGACAUUUUGUUUGAUUAAUUACUUUAUUUAAUAAGCGAGAAGAAUCAAGGGAGGAAGCUGUUUGUUUUUUCGUUCCAAAUUAGAUAACCUUUAUUUGUCCAAAAGCGCGAGCAGUAAUUUUAACAAAAGUCGCCAUGAUAUUCGAUAUAAUUUCUCGUGAUCGAUCUUACUGGAAUCGACAAUAUUGGAGUAUAAAAUACAUAUUCGCGCGGGAAGCGCAUCAAAAUGGCGGAUUUGGAGUGGUCACCAGGAGAAAGACUUCGCUUUUCCAAAUAAUUAGUUGAAUAAUUCAAUUUGAAUUUGUUCUGUGCAUAGUCCAUACCACCAACAUGAAACUGUUAUUAUUGCAUUGUCAAAACUUGCGGGAUUGAACCACUUGGCCACGUAAUGUUUACUGAUUAAUUGUUUAACGAUACUUUAUUAAUCGUUAUUUCAUCAUUUUAUCCGUACUAUUAUUAUCUCUUUGAUCUCUGAAGUCGGAAAGAAAAUAGAUCCUUUGCAAGAGAGAAACG